UACGAAGGGGACUAGCGUUGUUCGGAAUUACUGGGCGUAAAGCGCGCGUAGGCGGAUCGCUAAGUCAGGGGUGAAAUCCCAGGGCUCAACCCUGGAACUGCCUUUGAUACUGACGAUCUGGAGAUCGGGAGAGGUUGGUGGAAUUCCGAGUGUAGAGGUGAAAUUCGUAGAUAUUCGGAGGAACACCAGAAGCGAAGGCGGCCAACUGGCCCGAUACUGACGCUGAGGCGCGAAAGCGUAGGGAGCAAACAGG
rnacentral:rRNA from 1 species